GUGCGUAUUGUUAUGCGUUUACUUUACUACAUUGGUUAGAGGUAUAGGGGGAGGGUUGAGAUCUCACAAACAUGUUUAACCCCGCCGCAUUUUUGCGCCUGUCCCAAGUCAGGAGCCUCUGGCCUUUGUUAGUCUUGUAUUAUUUUAAUUUUAGUUUCUUGUGUACAAUUUGGAAAUUAGUAUGGUGUUCAUUAUCACUGGACUAGUAUAUAUUUGUUUAGGGGCCAGCUGAAGGACGCCUCCUGGUGCGGGAAUUUCUCGCUACAUUGAAGACCUGUUGGUGACCCUCUGCUGUUGUUUUUUAUUUGGGCGGGUUGUUGUCUCUUUGACACAUUCCCCAUUUCCAUUCUCAAUUUUAUCUU
rnacentral:lncRNA from 1 species